rnacentral:rRNA from 1 species
UAGUAACUGCGAGUGAAGCGGGAAAAGCUCAAAUUUAAAAUCUGGCGGUCUUUGGCUGUCCGAGUUGUAGUCUGGAGAAGUGCUUUCCGCGCUGGACCGUGUACAAGUCUCUUGGAACAGAGCGUCAUAGAGGGUGAGAAUCCCGUCUUUGACACGGACUACCAGUGCUUUGUGAUGCGCUCUCAAAGAGUCGAGUUGUUUGGGAAUGCAGCUCAAAAUGGGUGGUAAAUUCCAUCUAAAGCUAAAUAUUGGCGAGAGACCGAUAGCGAACAAGUACCGUGAGGGAAAGAUGAAAAGCACUUUGGAAAGAGAGUUAAACAGUACGUGAAAUUGCUGAAAGGGAAACGAUUGAAGUCAGUCGCGUUGUCCAGAACUCAGCCUUGCUUUCGCUCGGUGCACUUUCUGGUUGACGGGCCAGCAUCAAUUUUGACUGUUGGAAAAAGAUUGGGGGAAUGUGGCAUCCUCGGGUGUGUUAUAGCCCUCAGUCAUACACAAUGGUUGGGAUUGAGGAUCUCAGCACGCCUUAAUGGCCGGGGUUCGCCCACGUUCGUGCUUAGGAUGCUGGCAUAAUGGCUUUAAACGACCCGUCUUGAAACACGGACCAAGGAGUCUAACAUGCCUGCGAGUGUUUGGGUGGAAAACCCGAGCGCGCAAUGAAAGUGAAAGUUGAGAUCCUUGUCAUGGGGAGCAUCGACGCCCGGACCUGACCUUCUGUGAUGGCUCCGCGGUAGAGCAUGUAUGUUGGGACCCGAAAGAUGGUGAACUAUGCCUGAAUAGGGUGAAGCCAGAGGAAACUCUGGUGGAGGCUCGUAGCGAUUCUGACGUGCAAAUCGAUCGUCAAAUUUGGGUAUAGGGGCGAAAGACUAAUCGAACCAUC